rnacentral:rRNA from 1 species
CGGGUGGUAAACUCCAUCUAAGGCUAAAUGCGACCACGAGACCGAUAGCGAACAAGUACCGUGAGGGAAAGUUGAAAAGAACCUUGAAGAGAGUGUUCAAGAGUACGUGAAACCGUUCAGGGGUAAACCUGAGAAACCCGAAAUGUUGAAAGGGGAGAUUCAACGCGUCUCGCAGCUCGCGAGCGACGCGCGGCAUGAUGGGCGGCCCCGCUACUAGCGGCGGACGGCCCGCUCCGCGCGCCGAACGAUCGGGCACCUCACGUUGGGCACUUUUCCUACCGUAGGAGUCGUGACCCGUUGGGCGCCGGCCUAAGGUCCGCGGUGGAGACCGGACCCUUUGGGGCGUCCGGACCCUCGGUGUCCCGGCCGGCUCGACCCACGGUAUAACUAAGGCGCGGAACCCGCGACACGUUCGCGUCCGGCGCGUCGCAAGCGCGAACGGCGAACGGAGCAUCAGGGCCAGGUACCGGAUCCCCGACCGUUCGGCUGUUGGCGGUGCGGUCCUCGGACAGACCCCGUACACGCCAGUCUACGGCACUAUAGCUU